UACACUGCUGCUACCUGCUACAAUCUUGAUUCGCUGAUCGUUGACGGGAACUGACAAUUUCCGUCAACGAGGCAACUUGGCGCCAUUGAUACAAUCGUUAGGAAUAGUCUGCCAUCAACAGAUCGUUUCUGACACCGUUGUUAUCAUACUACUUUGCUACUGAUACUUUGCUUGCAGAUACUAAUCUUUCAGGUGUGGUUGAAUCUGACAUAUUCGGCUGCUAAUACUUGAGAGUAUCCUCUCACCUCCUAUAGGCGAAUCAACAAAUUUGAAUCGAAUACUCUACCAUCGAAAACUGAUACGAACC
rnacentral:lncRNA from 1 species